AGGUGAGUGCGAGUGAGAGUGAGUGCCAGUGAGUGUGAGUGCAGGUGAGUGCGAGUGCGAGUGAGUGCCAGUGAGUGUGAGUGCAGGUGAGUGCGAGUGCGAGUGAGUGCCAGUGAGUGUGAGUGCAGGUGAGUACGAGUGCGAGUGAGUGCCAGCGAGUGCAAGUGGAGGUGAGUGCGAGUGAGUGAGUGCGAGUGCGAGUGAGUGCCAGUGAGUGUGAGUGGAGGUGAGUGCGAGUGAGUGCCAGUCAGUGUGAGUGCAGGUGAGUG